UACGGAGGGUGCGAGCGUUAAUCGGAAUUACUGGGCGUAAAGGGUGCGUAGGUGGUUGUAUAAGUUAUCUGUGAAAUCCCUGGGCUUAACCUAGGAAGGUCAGAUAAGACUGUAUAACUCGAGUAUGGGAGAGGGUAGUGGAAUUUCCGGUGUAGCGGUGAAAUGCGUAGAGAUCGGAAGGAACACCAGUGGCGAAGGCGGCUACCUGGCCCAAUACUGACACUGAGGCACGAAAGCGUGGGGAGCAAACAGGAUUAGAUACCCUGGUAGUCCACGCCGUAAACGAUGUCAACUAGCUGUUGGUCUUAUGAAUAAGAUUAGUGGCGCAGCUAACGCGAUAAGUUGACCGCCUGGGGAGUACGGUCGCAAGAUUA
rnacentral:rRNA from 1 species